rnacentral:rRNA from 1 species
GUAAUACGUAGGUGGCAAGCGUUGACGGAUUUACUGGGGUAAAGCGUGCGCAGGCGGACGGGUAAGUAGGAAGUGAAAGGUUGGAGCUCAACUCCAACACUGCUCCCUAUACUGCCUGUCUUGAAUGUCGGAGAGGAAGAGCAACGACACGUGUAGCGAGAAAUGCGUUGAGAUGAUCGGAACACCAAUGGCGAAAGCACUCUUCUGGACGAAUAUUGACGCUCAUGCACGAAAGCUAAGGUAGCAAACAGGAUUAGAUACGUGGUAGUCUUAGCCAUAAACGAUGUUCACUAGGUGUUGGGGCGUAAGCCUCGGUGCCGCAGCUAACGCAUUAAGUGAACCGCCUGGGGACUACGGCCGCAAGGUUGAAACUCAAAGGAAUUGGCGGGGGCCCGCACAAGCGGUGGAGCAUGUGGCUUAAUUCGAUGCAACGCGAAGAACCUUACCAGGGCUUGACAUGGAACUGCAAGGUGGUGAAAGCCACUCGCCUUCGAGGGUGUUCCACAGGUGGUGCAUGGCUGUCGUCAGCUCGUGUUGUGAAAUGUUGGGUUAAGUCCCGCAACGAGCGCAACCCUCAUGUUUUGUUACCAGCGGAUCAUGCCGGGAACUCGAAACAAACUGCCUCUGUAAGAGGAGGAAGGUGGGGAUGACGUCAAGUCAUCAUGCCCCUUACGCCCUGGCUGCACACAUGCUACAAUGGCCGGUACAAAGGGUUGCUAACCUGCGAAGGUAUGCUAAUCUCAAAAAGCCGGUCUCAGUUCGGAUUGGAGUCUGCAACUCGACUCCAUGAAGUCGGAAUCGCUAGUAAACGCCGGUCAGCAAUACGGCGUUGAAUACGUUCCCGGGCCUUGCACACACGCCCGUCACGUGACGAAAGUUGGUCUACCCGAAACC